AAUUGAAAUCUGAAAAGCUCUCAUAUAUAAUAAUGAAUUUCUUACGUUUUCUUUGAACUUGAAAACCAAAGAUAAUUUUCCUGAGGCGAAAAGUACUUGAAUACUAGGAAAUGGCCGUUUUCUUAAAAAAAGCAAGUAGAAACAAGCGAUCAUGGAUGUCAGUUAGGUCUCGUCUCACGAAACUACAGUUGGUGAACUCCAAGAGUUCUUCGUUGUUCAAGAGUAUGACAGUGCUGGUGGCUGCAAGAGAGGUUUUUAUCAGAUAUUAGAUAGAUAUAACCGACAUCACUAUUCUGUUACGAGAGAGAUUGAUUCUGGCAAAACUCCAAUCGUGAUUCACCUGAUAGAUAACAAGACUAACAAUGUAUUGAGAAUGGAACCGAGGCUUAGGCCGUGCCAUGCAUUUUGUUGUUGCUUGAAAGACUGCAGUCACAGUAUGGAAGUUUCUGCUAACGGUGAGCUACUUGGAGUGAUUCGUCAUGGGGUGAACUGCUUCCUGCCAAAGCUAUCUGUUGAAAAGUUCGGACAAACACUCUUUGUUAUCAAGGAACCUGGUUGUCCGUGCUGUUGGAUAUGCAAUUGAUACGGGAAUAUAACCUCUUUCAUGAUCAUGCAGUAUCACGUGCUGAAAGAGCAAAGGGUAAGG